UUGUCUACAGUUCUAGGAUGUGAAUGGACGGGAGCACUGUAGACUCUAAGCCAAUCAGAUCCUAGAGAUCGAUUGUAGACAUUCCAUCGCUGUAUUCUAACCUCUGCGAGCACCCCAAAUGUGGGUGACUCGGGCGCGUUAUUUUUGCUAGUGGUGGACUGCGUUCGCGCUAUCCACUG
rnacentral:snRNA from 1 species